rnacentral:rRNA from 1 species
AUACGGAGGGGGCAAGCGUUGUUCGGAUUUACUGGGCGUAAAGGGCGCGUAGGCGGAUGUUCGCGUCAGAGGUGAAAGCCCCGGGCUCAACCUGGGAACUGCCUUUGAAACGGGACAUCUUGAGUUCGGAAGAGGGUAGCGGAAUUCCCAGUGUAGAGGUGAAAUUCGUAGAUAUUGGGAAGAACACCAGUAGCGAAGGCGGCUACCUGGUCCGACACUGACGCUGAGGCGCGAAAGCGUGGGGAGCAAACAGGAUUAGAUACCCUGGUAGUCCACGCCGUAAACGAUGUGCGCUAGCCGUUGGGAUGCUUGGCAUUUCGGUGGCGAAGUUAACGCAUUAAGCGCACCGCCUGGGGAGUACGGCCGCAAGGUUAAA